GUGGUGGGUGGUCCAGGGUUUUACAAGGGUUAGUGGUCUAGCAAUUUAUACAAGUGAUGAAUAUAUUAAGUAUGACAUAAGAAGCACUAAAAUAUGUACUAUUUAAUCUCUAUUAUGUAGAAUUUGAUGUUUCUUUCUUUUUUUUUAUAAAAUUUAUUAUGUACAGAAAAUUAUGCAUAAAUUUAUCAGUAAAUCAAAUAGUCUAGCUCAAAUUCAAAUCAAGCACAAAUUAAAGGC
rnacentral:lncRNA from 1 species